rnacentral:rRNA from 1 species
UACGGAGGGUGCAAGCGUUGUCCGGAUUCAUUGGGUUUAAAGGGUGCGCAGGCGGGACAUUAAGUCAGGGUGAAGAGGAUGCGUCACAAUCGCAGUGCCUUUGAUACUGGUGUUCUUGGGUGACCUUGAGGUAGGCGGAAUGGGUGGUGUAGCGGUGAAAUGCAUAGAUACCACCCAGAACUCCGAUUGCGAAGGCAGCCUACUGGAGGUUUACCGACGCUCAGGCACGAAAGCGUGGGGAGCGAACAGG